rnacentral:rRNA from 1 species
UACAGAGGUCCCGAGCGUUGUUCGGAUUUACUGGGCGUAAAGGGUGUGCAGGCUGCCCCUCAAGUGGUGUAUGAAAGGGCUCGGCUCAACCGGGCUAGGUUAUGCCAGACUGAGGGGCUAGAGAGCGAGAGCGGGACGUGGAAUUCCGGGUGUAGUGGUGAAAUGCGUAGAGAUCCGGAGGAACCCCAGAGGCGAAGGCGGCGUCCUGGCUCGCAUCUGACGCUCAGACACGACAGCAUGGGGAGCGAACGGG